rnacentral:rRNA from 1 species
UACGGGGGAUGCAAGCGUUAUCCGGAUUUAUUGGGUUUAAAGGGUGCGUAGGCUGUGAGGUAAGUCAGCGGUGAAAUGCCCCCGCUCAACGGGGUGAAGUGCCAUUGAUACUGCCUUGCUGGAAUGCGGAUGCCGUGGGAGGAAUGUGUGGUGUAGCGGUGAAAUGCAUAGAUAUCACACAGAACGCCGAUUGCGAAGGCAUCUCACGAAUCCGCUAUUGACGCUGAUGCACGAAAGCGUGGGUAUCAAACAGG